AAUUGACGGGGGCCCGCACAAGCGGUGGAGCAUGUGGUUUAAUUCGAUGCAACGCGAAGAACCUUACCUGGUCUUGACAUCCACGGAAGUUUUCAGAGAUGAGAAUGUGCCUUCGGGAACCGUGAGACAGGUGCUGCAUGGCUGUCGUCAGCUCGUGUUGUGAAAUGUUGGGUUAAGUCCCGCAACGAGCGCAACCCUUAUCCUUUGUUGCCAGCGGUCCGGCCGGGAACUCAAAGGAGACUGCCAGUGAUAAACUGGAGGAAGGUGGGGAUGACGUCAAGUCAUCAUGGCCCUUACGACCAGGGCUACACACGUGCUACAAUGGCGCAUACAAAGAGAAGCGACCUCGCGAGAGCAAGCGGACCUCAUAAAGUGCGUCGUAGUCCGGAUUGGAGUCUGCAACUCGACUCCAUGAAGUCGGAAUCGCUAGUAAUCGUGGAUCAGAAUGCCACGGUGAAUACGUUCCCGGGCCUUGUACACACCGCCCGUCACACCAUGGGAGUGGGUUGCAAAAGAAGUAGGUAGCUUAACCUUCGGGAGGGCGCUUACCACUUUGUGAU
rnacentral:rRNA from 3 species